rnacentral:rRNA from 1 species
GAUGAACGCUGACAGAAUGCUUAACACAUGCAAGUCGAUGGGGAAGUGGUGCUUGCACCAUGUAAACAAGGCGGAAGGGGGAGUAAAAAGUAAGGAACUUACCCGCCGGACCGGGAAAACAGCAGGAAACCGCUGACAAGACCGGAUAAGGUCAUUAAGCUGGAUAGCCUAGUGAUGAAAGGAGACGCCUGCGGAGAGCCUUGCGUCCUAUUAGCUAGUUGGAGGGGUAACGGCCCACCAAGGCGAAGAUAGGUAGCCGGCCUGAGAGGGUGGACGGCCACAAGGGGACUGAGAUACGGCCCUUACUCCUACGGGAGGCAGCAGUGGGGAAUAUUGGACAAUGGGGGCAACCCUGAUCCAGCAAUUCUGUGUGCACGAAGACGGUUUUCGGAUUGUAAAGUGCUUUCAGCAGGGAAGAAGGAAGUGACGGUACCUGCAGAAGAAGCGACGGCUAAAUACGUG